ACACAACACGAAAAAGAUUUUCCCACGAUCUGAAAUUCGUUGAAAACGAAGUGUGAAACACAUCUCGUUGAAUUUGUGAAAACAAACGAGUGCUUCAGUUCGAAGGAACAUCGUGUGAAACCAGCCACACAACAAAGAAAAUUUGGACUGAUAUACCAAAUGCACUGAAACAAGGAGAUAUUCGCGUAAUAAAUGCGCUUUCACAAGCUCCAAGUAUAGGAUUGGCACCGACGGCGGCUUCAUCAUGACAGUAUUUUGAAGCAUUAAAGAUUUUGUAAACACUUAUCAGCAAAUGAAGUGGAACUGCCAGCAACUACGACCCUGAAUGAUCAGUUCUCGUGUAGAAAAAAUCGACGAAACAACUUGUGUUCCGGCUGCUGGGAGUGAUCACAAAACUCCACGGAAAUGGAAUAAACAGCAGCACAAAAAUAUUGAUCUCCGUGACAUUAAGCUCAUGGUGAAAACAAUGUAUGCAGCAUAACCUCCGAGCCAUGAUUCAUUCGCAAAAAAACCUUGAUUGUGUCCUAAAUGAUCACAAUUGUUGAGGAAUGAAAUAAAAACGCCAUGUUGUCUAUUUUUUAAUUUUUUAUUCAUAUUUAAUUGAUUUAAUUAUCUUUUACAUAACCGGUGAGUGUGUCACGUAGCUGAUACGAAGCCUUACUAGAAUUGUUCUUAUUCAUAUUUCUGCUGCUGAUAAAUCCAUAAGAAGUGUAA